rnacentral:ncRNA from 22 species
GUGACCCUGUCGGCUCCGAAGUCCCAAGUUUAUGUUUGGGAUAUUGAUGUAGGAGCGAUGGGGUCUU